GACGAACGCUGGCGGCGUGCCUAAUACAUGCAAGUCGAGCGGACGGAUGGGAGCUUGCUCCCAGACCGUCAGCGGCGGACGGGUGAGUAACCCGUGGGCAACCUGCCUGUAAGACUGGGAUAACUCCGGGAAACCGGGGCUAAUACCGGAUAACUCUUUCCCUCACAUGAGGGAAAGCUGAAAGAUGGCAUCUCGCUAUCACUUACAGAUGGGCCCGCGGCGCAGUAGCUAGUUGGGGGGGUAACGGCUCACCAAGGCGACGAUGCGUAGACGACCUGAGAGGGUGAUCGGCCACACUGGGAGUGAGACGGGGACCAGACUCCUACGGGAGGCAGCAGUAGGGAAUCUGCCGCAGUGGACGAGAGUCUGACGGAGCAACGCCGCGUGAGUGAUGGAGGUGUUCGGAUCGUAAAACUCUGUUGUCAGGGAAGAACAGGUACCGGAGUAACUGCAGGUACCUUGACGGUACCUGACCAGAAAGCCACGGCUAACUACGUG
rnacentral:rRNA from 1 species